rnacentral:rRNA from 1 species
UUCCGUAGGGGUGACCUGCGGAGGGAUCAUUACACAAAUAUGAAGGCGGGCUGGAACCUCUCGGGGUUACAGCCUUGCUGAAUUAUUCACCCUUGUCUUUUGCGUACUUCUUGUUUCCUUGGUGGGUUCGCCCACCACUAGGACAAACAUAAACCUUUUGUAAUUGCAAUCAGCGUCAGUAACAAAUUAAUAAUUACAACUUUCAACAACGGAUCUCUUGGUUCUGGCAUCGAUGAAGAACGCAGCGAAAUGCGAUAAGUAGUGUGAAUUGCAGAAUUCAGUGAAUCAUCGAAUCUUUGAACGCACAUUGCGCCCUUUGGUAUUCCAAAGGGCAUGCCUGUUCGAGCGUCAUUUGUACCCUCAAGCUUUGCUUGGUGUUGGGCGUCUUGUCUCUAGCUUUGCUGGAGACUCGCCUUAAAGUAAUUGGCAGCCGGCCUACUGGUUUCGGAGCGCAGCACAAGUCGCACUCUCUAUCAGCAAAGGUCUAGCAUCCAUUAAGCCUUUU